rnacentral:rRNA from 1 species
GUCAAAGAACAUAAUAGAAGGGCGGAUCCGCCGAAUGGAUAACGAUUAAGCGGAAGAGAAGAAAAUAACAAUGAUUCCUUUAGUAGCGUCUCGUGAACAAGGAAGAGCUCAAAAGGAAAAUCCCUCAGUUUUGUGCAAACUUACUUUGGGAAUUGUCAUGUUGAGUAAACAUUCCAAUUAAUGCCUUAGCAUUCAAGCGAAGUGAGCAGGAAAGCUCUCCCUAAGAGGGUGAAAGGCCCGUAGCUUGUUGCUUUCGCUUUCAAUUUUUUGGAAGUUCACUUAUAGAGUCGUGUUCUUUAAGAUUGGAGCACUAAUAUGUGUGACUUUGCAUACAUUUUUCACAUAAAGCUAAAUAUGUGUAGGAGACCGAUAGCAAACAAGUACCGUGAGGGAAAGAUGAAAUAGUACUCAGGAAUGAGCCAUUAAAUAGUACCUGAAAUCGUUAAGGUGGAACGGAUUAAGAGAGGAAAUGUAGUAAAGAGGGGAAAUUAUUCUUCGGAAUUUGUUUUUCCUCUUUAUUAUAAAAAGGAUUAUCAGUGAAUCGGGAUAGAAAAAGGGGGCCAUAUAUGUUUCUUUUUUUUAUAUAUGAGGACCGUUACACAACAGGAUUGUGAUUCUUUGCCUUUGAGUGUUGUCUCUAGGUUUUCGGAUUUAGGUUAAGGCAACAUGAAGGUUUCUUGGUUUUCCCCCCAGGGAAAAUUGCAUAAAUCCUAUUUACUGAGGAAGUAUAAUUUAAAUCGUAGAAAAAGGAACAAGUAUCUUCUUCCUUUUUUUACCAUUUAAGAUAAUCCUAACAUUUUUAUGUGAAACUUUCUUAACCCACCCGUUUUGAGACACGGACCAAGGAGUCUAUCAAAUAUGCGAGUGUAUAUGGUUAGGCUAAACUGUGAGAUAACUUUUUUUUAUACGCGACGGUAUAUAUUACAUAUAUAUGUAAUUUGUAGCAUGAGGGGGGACUUUAUCGUAUUUUCUCCUGGGCAUACAAUACCGAUGGGGUGAAUAUACGCCUUAUUGAGUAUGAGCAUAUUUGAUAGGACCCGAAAGGCUUUGAACUAGGCGUGGUGAGACUGAAGUCAGUCGAAAGGCUGAUGGAGGGUCGAACUGAAAUCGAUGUAAGAAUCGUUCACUUCAACUGCGUUUAGGGGUGAAAGACCAUACGAAAAGCCUAAUAGCUGGUUAUUUUCGAAGGAUCUCUCAAGAUCGCUGGAGUUUGUGCAGCAUACAUACGGCAGUUAUUCGGAUGCAAAGGCGAGUAUUUUGUAAGCCCUGAUAUGCAAUUGCGUAUACAGGAGCGUUACAAUGUGUGAUACUUAUGGCAUGAGACCAAUGGAUCGCAUUCGGUUGCGGGUGUUGCUUCGCUAGUUGGGGUUGUUACUUCUUUAUGGGGAACGCUCCGCUAGCGGGUGGCGAUUCGUUUGCUGGGGCGACUUCUCUCUCGAUUUUCCUUAAUUUUGUACACUGAGGAAAAUGUGAACCUAGUUUGAGACUAUGUUGUACGUCAUCCCUUUUUAGGCGCCUUCUCUGAAUUAAAUGAUAACUCCAAGUGGACCAUUUCCGGUGAGAGGAAAUGGCUGUGAGGGUUCAACCUAACGCCUGGAUAAGGUGCCUAAAUAUUCGCUCAUUAGAUCCAAUUAAAGAAAAGGUGUUGGUUCGUACUGACAGCAGGACGGUGCUCACAGAAGUCGAGAUCCGCUAAGGAGUGUGUGGCAACUCACCUGCCGAAUGAACUUGCCCUGAAAAUGGAUGGCGCUAAAGCGGAUUACCGAUACCGGGCCAUAAAAGGAGCGAAAUGGGAACCUCUUCUUUUUUCAUUUCGUAAUAACCCUUUUAUGAGUAGAAAAUCGUGGGGUUUUGUGUCGAAGCGAAAUACGUGAGUUUUCGUGGAACAUCUCCCUAGUGCAGAUCUUGGUGGAAGUAGCAAAUAUUCAAAUGAGAACUUUGAAGACUGAAGUGGAGAAGGGUUUUUUGCCAACUGUGUUUGUGCAAAAGUUAGCCGCUCCUAAGAGGCAACCGAAGGGUUUGAAAAGCGGCUGGGGAAAAGGGACUGCACAAGUGAGCGUAUGCAUAUGUGAAAUGCAUUAUAUGUAUGACGCAUUGUGUAUAUGAACAUAUUGUGCAAUCCCUUUUUCCCGGCCUACUCGAAAGGGAAACAGGUUAACAUUCCUGUGCCAUACGAAUGGUAUGUAAAACAUAUGUUCAGGGUUUUUUCCCGGAAAAAGCAGAAAGGUGGUAACACAAAUAGCAAAUGAACUCCUUAACAUAGGCCUUACAUUCGAGGUGCGUUAUCUUUGCACUUAACUUGGCGGCAAACCUCUGAGGAGCAAUUCACUUGGCGAAGAGGUAUGCCGAACCUGCAUAUCGGGGGAAAGGUGCGCAUUGGGGAAACUUCGGUUCUUUCCAAUAUGCAGUUCUCCUCCGACCCUUGUAGUAAUAGUAAUUCUUUUUUACGGAAUUAUUCGAAAGCGUAAGGACUAUCCUUGAAAAAAGGAGGGAACAAGUAAAUUUUGAAAAUGGGGGAGAAAUUCCUGUUCCAGCGGGGAGUCUUCACCCCCUUUAUUUUCAUAUAAGCUGAAUACCAUUGUUGUGCGUACCGAAUAACCGCAUCAGGUCUCCAAGGUUAGCAGCCUCUGGUUAAAUAGAACAAUGUAAGUAAGGGAAGUGAGACAAAUUGGAUCCGUAACUUCGGGAUAAGGAUAUGGCUCUGAUGAUGCUAAGUGGAGAUCAUAAUGGGGUGGUUAGUUAUCAUAUAGGUCUGGGGGGAUCAAGCGGGUAUGCAAAUAAUAAGGCUGCUACGGAUGAUUUUUCAUCUGUUCAUUCUUUUUUUUUUGUGUGCUCGUUUAAUUCACCCAUAACUAUAGAUUUCUUUCCCCCCUUCUUCCGUACUGCGAGAAAGUUAUGGUAUUUUUCCUACUUAAGAGCACUGCUUCAGCGUGCCUUAAAUGGGGGCAUGCCGUGACUGACUUGUGUACAUAUACAGCAUCGAAUCAGAACUGAAACGGACAAGAGGAAUUUGACUGUUUACGACAUAACACUGUGAGCGCCCUCAGAGAGUAGGUAUAAAUACCUUAUCGUAUAACGUAUAUACGCAUAUGCUUAUUGUAUGUACUCCUUUGGAGCACCCUUGACGCAGUGUGAUUUCUGCCCAGUGCUUUUGAAUAACAGAGUGACUGUAAUUCGAUAAAUGCGCAGGCAAAUGGCGGAAGUAGUUGCUACAGCUUCUGAUAUUUAGCCAAGUGUUCCAUCAUUAUGCGUGCCUCCUGAUUCUUGCCAAAGGGCAUAUAUAGUACUUUUAUGCUGCCUAUGGCUUGUGAGCCGGGUGUUCUAUCUGGUCCUCCAGGCCUUAUGUGGUGUAAUGUAUUUUUUAUCCCCCAAGGUUGAGAUGACGGCCUGGUACUUUUAAUAAUCGAAGGGCACUUAGAGUAGAUAAACAAAAUUCCUGCUGUCCCUACUUGCAAUCUAGCGAAACCACAACCAAGGGAUAUACAGGCUUGGUUAAAUCAGUUGGGUCAUAGAAGACCCUAUUUAACUCGACUCCAGGUAGGCUCUGUAGAACGGCUUCCGAUUGUGUAGCAUAAGUGGGAGCGGAAUUCUGAAAGAAGGGUUCCGCGCAAGUGAAAUACCACUCCAUCCAAAGUCCUUUUACUUAUCCGUUAGUGUGGGGAAAAAGGGGCACACGUGCGUAUGUGGAUAUGCACAUACUUACGUGCGUACUUAUGUAUGUACGUAUGUAUGUGCGUUCUUGCUGCGCAUGUAUGCUCCUCCCCUUAAUAGCACUACGCGGAGACACAGCCUAGUGGGGAGUUAACUUACAGUGCCGCUACGUUUGCCUUUCACCCUUUGUUUCGAUGAAGGGCGGGGGUACAAUGUGCGAAUGCAGUUAGCAGACUCAAAGAGAACAGAAAUCUCUUGGGGACUUUGCAAUAUAAGAAAUGCCUGCUAAGGUGGUACUCCUUUUGGGGAGUUUGUAUGGCCUGUAAUUAUCACCUUAUUCCUGCGAAAAAGUCAUGGGGGUAUGCGCGCGCAUACGUAAGUGAAAAUGUACGUAUGUACGUACAUACGUGCAUAUGUACGCUUUCACCUGCGUGUGCCCGCUCAUGCCUUCCAUACAAUGUGCAGAUAAGGGGCGAUAGGAAAGGGUUAUAAUAGGGAUAACUUUCUUGCGGCCGCCGAGCGACUUUUAGCGACGUAGCUUUUUGACCAUUUUGUAAUAUCAGCAUUUCCUAUCAUUGGGACGAAGAAGUCCCAAAGUGUCGGAUUGUUCAACCGCUAACAGGGAACGUGUGCUGAGUGUUGGGGCAGUCAUGAGACUCGCCCAGUUUUAAACCUACUGAUGAAAAUUGUUAAAUCAAAAACGCAUUGAUAAUGUGACGGUAAUCCAACUGAGUACGAGAGGAAAAGUUGGUUCAGACAUUUGGUACAGGAAUUGGUUGACAAGCCAGAGUUCCGAAGCUACGUCUGUUGGAUGAUAUAUAUAUAAUGGCUGAAUACAUCUCAAGCCAGAAUCCAUGCUGGAUAAACAUUACUGUAAGCGUGUUCUGCAUAAUUUGGCUUUUCACAUGUUUUGCUUUACUAAAGCAAAACUGGAAAAAGAAUACAUAUGCUUCCUUACUUUUUGUAGGGUAUAUAUGCAUAUUAGUAACCCAUCCGCCAGAGUAUUCUUCAAAGUUGGAAGAAGGGGGAGGGGGUAGCACUGCGUUACAGAGUUCGCCGCUAUCUAUGGUAGAAGCAGCUAUGCUCAAUUUUUUCCAAAUUGUAGAGUGACAUUAAGUUUCCUUUUGCAGUAUGGUAGAAUGGGGCGGUUUGUUGUUAUACUCAUCUCCCGUAUUACUUUUUAAGAUACGGGAGUGAGGGGAACACCGGGUUGUCCUUUUUUCCAUUUUUCGGCCGCUUGAGCUCAAAAUGCUAUGUGCCUCCUUUUUCUUUGUGAUGACCGAGAAGAAUACUUUUUCACCGUAAUUUUUAUAAUGCAGAAUGCAAUUAAAAAAUGCCUGUAGACGACUUGAAUUACCCCUGGUGCUGUAAACAUGAAAGUAAAUCUCAUUUUACGAUCUGUUGAGGCUCAUCCAAGGGCUUUCAUUUUUU